rnacentral:rRNA from 1 species
AGGCAGCAGUGGGGAAUAUUGCACAAUGGGCGAAAGCCUGAUGCAGCGACGCCGCGUGAGGGAUGACGGCCUUCGGGUUGUAAACCUCUUUCAGCAGGGAAGAAGCGAAAGUGACGGUACCUGCAGAAGAAGCGCCGGCUAACUACGUGCCAGCAGCCGCGGUAAUACGUAGGGCGCAAGCGUUGUCCGGAAUUAUUGGGCGUAAAGAGCUCGUAGGCGGCUUGUCACGUCGGUUGUGAAAGCCCGGGGCUUAACCCCGGGUCUGCAGUCGAUACGGGCAGGCUAGAGUUCGGUAGGGGAGAUCGGAAUUCCUGAUGUAGCGGUGAAAUGCGCAGAUAUCAGGAGGAACACCGGUGGCGAAGGCGGAUCUCUGGGCCGAUACUGACGCUGAGGAGCGAAAGCGUGGGGAGCGAACAGGAUUAGAUACCCUGGUAGUCCACGCCGUAAACGGUGGGCACUAGGUGUGGGCAACAUUCCACGUUGUCCGUGCCGCAGCUAACGCAUUAAGCACUCCGCCUGGGGAGUCCGGCCGCAAGGCUGAAACUCAAAGGAAUUGACGG